UUGGGAGAGGAAGGUGUGGAAGAAAGGGCGGGGAAGGGAGUUGGGCUGCGAGACGCGGUGACGUGAGGGUGGAACCGAAAUAGGGUGUUUGGAACUAUCCUUGGCCGCUGCUCCCAGGCUGACCUUCCCCUGCAGCGGGGAAGGGGAGGAGGCGUCAGCUGCAGGCCCGGCACGACUCCAGGCGAUGACAUGGGUCGAGGUACUGUUAUGUCACAGACUGUCUCCAUAUCAGGCCCGAAGAUCAGCAGGCCUGGAGAGAAGAUGACGGAGAUUCUUCCUCCUGUUUCAGAUCUCUGCCAACUCUGGCCUGGUACUUUUCCAAGAGGACAUAGAAGAGGAGAGGAUGGCAGCUGUGCCCCUAACAGCCAGAUGGCAGGUGAGUUGGACUUUCUUCAGUCUGGAGUUUCCUUGCCAGCCUUGGAGAUUGGUCCCAUGUUGGUAGACAUGGGGCUCUGUAGAGGAGACUAGUACCCUUUCUGGCUUCCGAUUCUCUCCCUUCUCACCAUACAACAAAGCUGUAGGGAUCUUCCUUCUGAAUGGCCCUUCAUAAAGCCUUGGUGACCAGCCCUGCCAUGUGUUUUAUAAUGGUUGGGGAGCAGAGGAUUGAGGCAGCUCUGCC
rnacentral:lncRNA from 1 species